rnacentral:rRNA from 1 species
UACGGAGGGGGCAAGCGUUGUCCGGAAUCACUGGGCGUAAAGCGCACGUAGGCGGCUUUGCAAGUUAGAGGUGAAAGCCCGGGGCUCAACUCCGGAAUUGCCUUUAAAACUGCAUCGCUGGAAUUGUGGAGAGGUAAGUGGAAUUCCGAGUGUAGAGGUGAAAUUCGUAGAUAUUCGGAAGAACACCAGUGGCGAAGGCGACUUACUGGACACAUAUUGACGCUGAGGUGCGAAAGCGUGGGGAGCAAACAGG